rnacentral:rRNA from 1 species
AACGAACGCUGGCGGCAUGCCUAACACAUGCAAGUCGAACGAGACCUUCGGGUCUAGUGGCGCACGGGUGCGUAACGCGUGGGAACCUGCCCUUAGGUUCGGAAUAACUCCCCGAAAGGGGUGCUAAUACCGGAUAAUGUCUUCGGACCAAAGAUUUAUCGCCUUUGGAUGGGCCCGCGUUGGAUUAGCUAGUUGGUAGGGUAAAAGCCUACCAAGGCGACGAUCCAUAGCUGGUCUGAGAGGAUGAUCAGCCACACUGGGACUGAGACACGGCCCAGACUCCUACGGGAGGCAGCAGUGGGGAAUAUUGGACAAGGGGCGAAAGUCUGAUCCAGCAAUGCCGCGUGAGUGAUGAAGGCCUUAGGGUUGUAAAGCUCUUUUACCCGGGAUGAUAAUGACAGUACCGGGAGAAUAAGCACCGGCUAACUCCGUG